CUGUUCGAGCGUCAUUUAUACCAAUCUAGCCUGGCUAGGUGUUGGGCUUCGCCGUCUGGCGGGCCUUAAAACUAGUGGCGGUGCUCUUAGGCUCUACGCGUAGUAAUUUUCUCGCUAUAGGGUCCUCGGAGAUGCUUGCCAGCAACCCCAAAUUUUUCUAGGUUGACCUCGGAUCAGGUAGGGAUACCCGCUGAACUUAA
rnacentral:misc_RNA from 1 species